rnacentral:rRNA from 1 species
GAGUUUGAUCCUGGCUCAGAACGAACGCUGGCGGCGUGCUUAACACAUGCAAGUCGAACGUGAUUGAGAGCUUGCUCUCAUGAAAGUGGCGCACGGGUGAGUAACACGUGGAUAAUCUGCCUGGCGAUUCGGGAUAACACUUCGAAAGGGGUGCUAAUACCGGAUAAGCCCACGGUCUCUUCGGAGAGCGCGGGAAAAGGGGGCCUCUGUAUAUGCUCCUGUCGCUAGAUGAGUCCGCGGCCCAUUAGCUAGUUGGUAGGGUAAUGGCCUACCAAGGCAUCGAUGGGUAGCUGGUCUGAGAGGAUGAUCAGCCACACUGGAACUGAGACACGGUCCAGACUCCUACGGGAGGCAGCAGUGGGGAAUUUUGCGCAAUGGGSGAAAGCCUGACGCAGCAACGCCGCGUGAGUGAUGAAGGCCCUCGGGUCGUAAAGCUCUGUCAGAGGGGAAGAACCUCCCAUCGGUUAAUAUCCGGUGGGCCUGACGGUACCCUCAAAGGAAGCACCGGCUAACUCCGUGCCAGCAGCCGCGGUAAUACAAGGGCRAAKK